AAAUAGUGAGAAAAACAGUCAAAAUAUAAAACAAAAAAACUAAAAUUUUCACAGAUUAUGAUCAAGAUUUCUUUGGCUAUUUUACCCGUUCUGAUAAGGCACAUCUAUUCAUCUGUAAACAACAGACAACAGGCACUGCACGGAAUUAAAUUGUAAGACAUGAAAUUAAAAUAAUUCAUAGUGAUUGUAAAAUGUGAAAUAUGUAAAAAGUGUCUAGGCAUUUUGUAUCAAAGGGAAAAAAAACAGGAUAAUUUUUUAAUUUGGCUCUAUGAUGACAUUUAGUUGUUGAAGUUUGUUUAUCAUUAUCAUUAGUGUGUGAAGAGGUAGAAAAUGACCAAAUCUAAAUAUUUAUAUAAAUGUAUAAUAAA